UACGAAGGGGGCAAGCGUUGUUCGGAAUUACUGGGCGUAAAGGGCUUGUAGGUGGCCAACUAAGUCACACGUGAAAUCCCCAGGCUUAACCUGGGAACUGCGUGUGAUACUGGAUGGCUUGAAUCCGGGAGAGGGAUGCGGAAUUCCAGGUGUAGCGGUGAAAUGCGUAGAUAUCUGGAGGAACACCGGUGGCGAAGGCGGCAUCCUGGACCGGUAUUGACACUGAAAAGCGAAAGCCAGGGGAGCAAACGGG
rnacentral:rRNA from 1 species